GGUGGCUUGUCGCUCGUUAACAUCACAUGGUUGCGAGAGGAAAGUCCGGGCAACGCAGAGCAUCACAUUUCUUAACGGGAAGCCAUGGGUGACCGUGGGGUUAAGGUGACAGAAAACAACCGCCGCUCAAGCGGUAAGGGUGAAAAGGCGGGGUAAGAGCCCACCGGGCGCUGUGGUGACACAGCGUGCCGCACCACCUGUGAGUUGCAAGUUCAUGUAUACCGGCAUUUAAGGGCUGCUCGUCCAUUGCCGGGGGGUAGAACGCUAUACCGUCGCAGCAAUGCGCCGGACAGAUAAAUGACAGGCACCUGCCGUCACGGCAGGCACAUAACCCGGCUUACAGCCAUACUG
rnacentral:RNase_P_RNA from 1 species